UACGGCGGGUGCAGGCGUUAAUCGGAAUUACUGGGCGUAAGGCGCGCGUAGGUGGUUUGUUAAGUUGGAUGGGAAAGCCCCGGGCUCAACGUGGGAACUGCAUCAAAAACUGGCAAGCUAGAGUACGGUAGAGGGUGGUGGAAUUUCCUGUGUAGCGGUGAAAUGCGUACAUAUAGGAAGGAACACCAGUGGCGAAGGCGACCCCCUGGACUGAUACUGACACUGAGGUGCGAAAGCGUGGGGAGCAAACAGG
rnacentral:misc_RNA from 1 species